AAACUCAAAGGAAUUGACGGACCGCCUUCAAAUGAAUAGACGGUGCCGGCUAAAACGAAUCGAUCAGGUGACAGUCCAUGAGGUAAUAGAAGCACCGGGCUAACUAACGUGACCAGACAGCCGCGGUGAUACGUAAGGUGCGAGCGUUGUCCGGAUUUAUUGGGCGUAAAGGGCUCGUAGGUGGUUGAUCGCGUCGGAAGUGUAAUCUUGGGGCUUAACCCUGAGCGUGCUUUCGAUACGGGUUGACUUGAGGAAGGUAGGGGAGAAUGGAAUUCCUGGUGGAGCGGUGGAAUGCGCAGAUAUCAGGAGGAACACCAGUGGCGAAGGCGGUUCUCUGGGCCUUUCCUGACGCUGAGGAGCGAAAGCGUGGGGAGCGAACAGGCUUAGAUACCCUGGUAGUCCACGCUGUAAACGGUGGGUACUAGGUGUGGGGUCCAUUCCACGGGUUCCGUGCCGUAGCUAACGCUUUAAGUACCCCGCCUGGGGAGUACGGCCGCAAGGCUAAAACUCAAA
rnacentral:rRNA from 1 species